AGAUACUAUAAAACUCUUAGAGAAAAACAUAGGCAGAACAUUCUUUGAUGUACAUUGCAGCAAUAGGUUUUUUGAUCCACUUCCUAGAGUAAUGAAAGUAAAAACAAAAAUAAACAAAUGUAACCUAAUCAAACUUACAAGCUUUUGUACAGCAAAGAAAACCUUUAACAAAACAAAAAGACAAUCCACAAAAUAGGAACAAAUUUUUGUACAUGAAGUGACUAACAAGAGAUUAAUCUCCAAAAUAUACAAACGUCUCAUACAGCUUUAUAUCAAAAAAAAAACAAACAACCCAAUAAAAAAAUGGGCAGAAGAUCUAAAUAGACAUUUCUCCAAAGAAGGCAGUCAGAUGGCCAAAAAGCACAUGAAAAAAUGCUCAACAUCACUAUUAGAGAAAGGAAAAUCAAAACUAAAAUGAGAUGAUUAGGUAUCAUCUCAUUACCAGUCAGAAUAGCCAUCAUCAAAAAGUCUACAAACAAUAAAUGGUGGAGAGGGUUGUAGAAAGGGAAUACUCCUUCACUGUUGGUGGAAAUAUAAGUUGGGGCAACCACUUUGGAAAACAGUGUGAAGUUUCCUUAAAAAGCUAAAUAUAGAACUACCAUAUGAUCCAGCAUUCCCACUCCCGGCAGCUAUCUGGAGAAAACCAUAAUUCAAAAAGAUACAUGGCCCCCCCAAUGUUCACUGCAGCACUAUUUACAGUAGCCAAGACAUAGAAGCAACCCAAAUGUACAUCAACAGAGGAUUGCGUAAAGAAGACUGUGGUACAUAUGUACAAUGGAAUAUUACUCAGACUUUAAAAAGCAUGAAGUGUGCCUUUUGCAGCAACACGGAUGGAUUUAGAGAUUAUCAUACUAAGUAAAGUCAGAGAGAGAAAGACAAGUAUCAUAAGAGAACACUAAUAUGUAGAAUUUAAUGAAAAGGAUACAAUAGAACUUACAAAGCAGAAAGAGACACAAGGAUUUUGAAACCAAAUUUAUGGUUACCAAAGAGGAAAUGUGGAAGGAAAGAAUAAAUUAGGGGGUUGGGAUUGACAUGUACACACUACUAUAUAUAAAAUAGAUGGGUAACAAGAACCUACUGUACAUCACAAGGAAAUCCACUCAGUACUAUGAAAUAAGCUAUAUGGGGAAAGAAUCUGAAAAGGAAUGGACAUGUGCAUAUGUACAACUGAUUUAUUUUGCUGUCCACCUGAAAUUAACACAACUUUGCUGAAAACAAGGUUGAUGUGUUUAAAAAACAAAAACCCACAAACUCUCUAAUGGUCUGCAAACAUGACUGUUUCCCACAGAAUUUAAGGAAUCCUCAUUCUUACUCUUCUAAUAAAGUCUUUGAGGCAACACCGCGAACAGCAGCAUCCUUUAAAUACAUAUGGGCAUCCACAGGGCCAUGUGACAUUCCCACUAGGUUGACGUGAGAAGGUUUUGUCCAUAAGUUGCCCAGAGCAUACCUCUUCUUUGUGUGCUCCUGUUGUUAUGGUCCUGGAGACCAGUGCCCAUAAAAUGAAAGAUUAAUGAGAUCGUCUUCAGCCCUGCUUUAGGCAAUUACAUUUAUUCCUCAUCAUUCUGCUUCCCCAGCCCUGACAUUUAGCUUCUCCUUACGCUGCUGUCUGAUAUUACAAAUUGUGCUGGGUAAUUUCCCGCAGCCAAAACAGGAGAUUUAGAAGCACCAGGGAGUUCUGGAAAUCUAUCCUGCCCAUCAUGAAAUGCUUCCUGUUCUGGCUUAAAAGCCCCAGAGAGAAAAGAAAUGUGUCUACGUCAGGGUGGUGGGGCCACUACAAAUAAUAGAAUCAUAAGACCCAUGGAAGGAAAAAAGUUUGGUUUUCUUUGUAGGAAUUCCUAUCUUGACACCCUAUAACUAAGAGACGUUGGGAAAUUUCUUAAACAUUACUUAACCUACCUAUCUUAAUAGGACAAGAUUAGUUUCAGCGGAACUAUUUCCUGGGAAAAAAAAAAGAGAGAGAGACUUUGACUGGUAUAUGAUACUUUUAACCUUGGUGGUAAUGAAAUUUUUGUUUUUUUUUUAAAAAAGGCAAGGGUGUGGGUGGGAAUUAAUCGGCUUCAGUCACUGCAGUAUAGGCAUAGUACAUUCUUUAUGUAUGGGAACCUUCAGUUCCUGUAGCCUUAAGUGCAGGAGGAAAGGGAUUAUAUGAAAGAUUGGUUAUGUACUUAUGGAAACUGCUUAUUUUGCUGGCAUCAAGAAAAAUCAGGAAGACUCCUCUCAAAUUUUAUUCCCCUACUCCUAUCUGUGUAUUUGAGAUCCAAGCUGGUUAGUUUAGUAGCUUGGAAGAAUUACAAACGUUUUUCUUUUAACAUAAAAUUUUCCUGAAAAUUUUGGUUUGCGGUGAACUUGUUCAAUUCUUUCCUUCAAGCAGAUGUGGAAGUAUUGGGAAGGGAGGGGCAGGAGAUGGUUCAGAGACCCGCCCACUGCCCACCCGCACCUCAGUCUGAUCAAAGUCAAGCACAUUCAUGGGUGUCCUGACUUACGAAUUCUCUUCAAAACUUCCAAAUGGAAUUUCCACUAGAAAUAAGCUCAGGAUUAUUGACACCAACAGCCACUGAUUAUCACUACCCUCCAAUGGCAGGCCCCUAAGCAGCAGGGGCAUAAAGUGAGUUCUCAGUCUCCGAGGUUUUUGUCAUCAGUCCUGAGCCUUUGAAAAGUUGGGAGGUUAGCCAAACAUAUAGCUUUCCCCAGAAACACAGAAAAUUAAGGCUCAAGGCAGUUAAAAACUUCUCCAGAGAAAAAUGGUUACAAAGAAACAAUAUCCCAUAAGAAUGUACCCACAGGGACUAGAACUCCCAAAAUUUCAAGAGCAAUUUAAGAGCAUCCCAAGAGGUUGAUGCCUCCUUCCCCACCUCAAAUUCCAAGUCCUUGGGCUUUCAGAUAAGGAUUUUUUAAAUAUUAUUCACACAGAACUGAGAAUGGCUUACUGCCCCCUUCUUGGCAUGGAUUAUCAUUGAUAGAUCAGAAUAAAGCCAAGUUAAAUCUGCCAGUGAGCUGACAGGUAGAGAAGGGUCAGGGAAAAGGGUCACCAAAUUCCCUGAAAUUCGUCACCUAAAUUCUCACUAAACUCACUUCCUUGUAGAAUCCAGUUUUAGCAAGAACACAGAUGAGUCAGUUUAGCAAGAAACCCCUUCCUCAGUACCCGAUCACUAUCCAUGUCUGAUCAAAUCCUCUGCCCUUGGAAUCUGGUCAUCUUGGCCAACGUUCAGCAAGAAUCCUGUCAAGUCAGUUUAGCCAGAACCGUUCUUCCCUCCUAAGGUUUCUUCUUAGUAAUAUUCCAUCCACUGACCUCUUUACCCCCCAAAUCCUGAUCUUUGGCUGUAAUUCCCACUCGUUCACACUGUGUGAGGUAUUGAAUCCAGUUUUAUGGAGGGUUUUUUUUUUUUUUCCUUAUUGCAAUAAUUUUGCUUUGUUGUUUAGUAAAAUUGUGUCUUCACCGCUUUAACUUCUGCCUUUCUCUGGUUUUCUUUAACACACAUAAUAUCUUUGAGCAUCAGUGCAUUUACUUGUAAAAUAAUAAUAACACUCUCUUGGGUGAGGCUCAAGUGAGAUAAUGUAUUAUCUUUAAAACCAAAGGCAUUCCACCAUUGUUAACUGCAAUUACCAUUGCAGAUUCAUUAGUCUGUUUGGAAUCUUUUCAAAAUUCAGAAUAUUUUGGAUGUUAAAAAGGUAAUUCAGGUGAAAUGUGCUUAGAAAAUACAUCUUAGGUGUUCUUACACACACACACACACACACACACACACACACUAACUGUGUAAGGUGAUGGAUGUGUUCAUUAACCUGAUUGUGGCAAUCAUUUCACAGUGUACAUGUGUAGUAAAUCAUGACAUUGUGCACCUUAAAAAUAAAGUUUAUUAGCAUCCUAGGGGAAAAAAGUAAUUCAGUAUAUAUGCCAAUUAUUAAAUUCAGUGGAGUCUAUGAUAGUAUCCCAUUAUUAUACAUAUUAAUAUAUCUUUAGCAAAAUGAACAAAUACUCCCACUAAGUGGGUUGAAUAAAGACUAUCUCAAGCUGCAUGAUGGUUUAGGAGAGGUUUUACAACUGAAUUAUGAAAACUUUCCAUUUCAAUAGCUCUUCAGAUGUUGGAAUCAGUGAUAAGAAAUUGUUGACCUGGAGCUCCUGUCCUGGCUCCGUGGAAAUGAAUCUGACUAGGAUCCAUGACACAGGUGCGAUCCCUGUCCUCGCUCAGUGGGUUAAGGAUCUGGCCUUGCCAUGAGCUGUGGUGUAGGUCGCAGAUGCAGCUCGGAUCUGGCGUUGCUGUGGUGUGGGCUGGCAGCUGUAGCUCCAAUUUGACCCUUAGCCUGAGAACUUCCAUAUG
rnacentral:lncRNA from 1 species